rnacentral:rRNA from 1 species
GACGAACGCUGGCGGCGUGCUUAACACAUGCAAGUCGAACGGAAAGGCCCUGCUUUUGUGGGGUGCUCGAGUGGCGAAAGGGUGAGUAAAACGUGAGUAACCUGCCCUUGACUUUGGGAUAACUUCAGGAAACUGGGGCUAAUACCGGAUAGGAGCUCCUGCUGCAUGGUGGGGGUUGGAAAGUUUCGGCGGUUGGGGAUGGACUCGCGGCUUAUCAGCUUGUUGGUGUGGUAGUGGCUUACCAAGGCUUUGACGGGUAGCCGGCCUGAGAGGGUGACCGGCCACAUUGGGACUGAGAUACGGCCCAGACUCCUACGGGAGGCAGCAGUGGGGAAUAUUGCACAAUGGGCGGAAGCCUGAUGCAGCAACGCCGCGUGCGGGAUGACGGCCUUCGGGUUGUAAACCGCUUUCGCCUGUGACGAAGCGUGAGUGACGGUAAUGGGUAAAGAAGCACCGGCUAACUACGUG